UGGAAACGAUUUUAUAGUCAUGAACUAAAUGCGAGGAGCACUUAAAGUGUCGAACUGCAUUGUAUAUUUUAUGUAAAUUAAGAAUAUUGAACAAAUUCCCCAUUUGGUACAAAAGAGAGAAAGAAAAUAGACCUCUCCUGAUGAUCAAUGCCUCUGAGGAAAUGAAUUAUCUUUAUUUUCUCCAUUAUCUUUUAUUGUCAUUUUAUAUACUCUAUAAAAUAUCGACCUGCAAGGUAUUCAAAUGAAAUGUGAUGUAAUUUUUCUGAUUCACGAGCCUUUUUUAUAUCCUUCAGGCAAGACUGCGACCUUCUCUACAUCCCUGAGUACACCUCAUAGGUAGACUCUGCCCUCAUAAUAGAAAGUACUCUAGUAACAGAGUGUGUUAUAUUCAGGCAAAUGUACUCCUUGGAGUCCAAAGGGCUGGGUUCAAAUCCCAAUUUUGCAAUUGAAUGUGCAGUGUUGGAUAUGUUCAUUAUAGUGUGCAAGUCCAAGUACUGCAAAGCUGAAGAGAGACAAUGCACAUCUCGAAGUACAAGUCAUUAAACCUGCCUUUGGAAGCAUGUGAGACUUAGAAUAAAUAACAAGAAAGAAUAUUGAAAAUUGGAUUUCCCAAAGAAUUAAGAUGCUCCCACUGUGGCCAGGCUCGGGCUACCUACCGCAGCCCCCGAGGCGGAGAGGCAGGCAGUCGCCUGCACAAACGCCACUGGAGCCACCUGCAGCACAUCGCUGGCUGUGCCAGGUGAUGCCAUUAACUUCCAGCUCCCUCUUCAUGAGCCUGGAACUGCAUCCUACGACCACUUCUCCUGCACCAGUUGACCCUGUGAGGCAUUCUGCUAGGAGGCCACAGGAGAGAUACUGGAAGACCAGGGCAGGCCCAGAUCUUUGUCCGUGGCUCUGCUGCCCUCUCCUCCAGCAAAGCAGCCAAUGGAUUAUGAAGGAAAAGAUAAACAGCCAUGAUAGAAAGUUUCCCAGCCAGUUGAUUUAGCUACUACUGUAUCUUGUUGGAGUAGACAGCAACCUUGAGUGUCUCUUGCUAAACACAUAUACGUGGAAUAGAAAGAGUAUUGAUCUUAGAGCCAUUCCAUUAAAUCCGUAUGCAAGUUAAUCAUGAACUUGGAUGCCUCCUGGUAAACAGGUACUAUUCUUUCUUAUUAAAAAAGAAAAUCGCUCUUGUCCUGAAUAUAAAACAACAACAACAAAAUUGCACAUUCUGUA
rnacentral:lncRNA from 1 species